GCUGCUUUCCAUACGGGUUAGACACGGCUAGAGGCCAAGGUCAAGUUGAAAGCUGCAGCCUAGCCAAUGUG
ensembl:misc_RNA